UAAUUGAUUGCUUAUUUUCUCCAUUAACCGAGUAGUUUUUUAGUCUGUAAAAUGUCAAGAAAUGGUGAAAAAUGGUGCAG